rnacentral:rRNA from 1 species
GAUGAACGCUGGCGGCGUGCUUAACACAUGCAAGUCGAACGGAAAGGCCCAAGCUUGCUUGGGUACUCGAGUGGCGAACGGGUGAGUAACACGUGGGUGAUCUGCCCUGCACUUCUGGAUAAGCCUGGGAAACUGGGUCUAAUACCGGAUAGGACCACAUUUUGGAUGGUGUGGUGGAGAGUUUUUCGGUGUGGGGUGAGCUCGCGGCCUAUCAGCUUGUUGGUGGGGUAAUGGGCUACCAAGGCGUCGACGGGUAGCCGGCCUGCGAGGGGGUACGGCGACAUUGGGACUGAGAGACGGCCCAGACUCCUACGGGAGGGAGCAGGGGGGAAUAUUGAACAAUGGGCGCAAGCCUGAUGCAGCGAAGCCGCGUGGGGGAUGACGGUCUUCGGGUUGUAAACGCCUUUCGCUAGGGACGAAGCGUUAUGUGACGGUACCUGGAGAAGAAGCACCGGCUAACUACGUG